rnacentral:miRNA from 2 species
UCUUGCUCAAAUGAGUGUUCCA